AAGAAAAAAAAAAAUGG
rnacentral:rRNA from 1 species